UACCUUUGGACCCCAUUCUCUCAUUCGUGCAAGGGCCCUCUCUCUAUCUGCCCUAACCCUCAGUGAAAUCUCAGUCGUGAAGCUCAAGAGUAACCCUCACUGAAAUCUCAUUCGUGAAGCUCAAGAGCCCUCUCUCUCUCUCUCUCUGUGAUGACCGAUUCUAUUUGGUAUGAAAUGAAGCCAGACCUAGGUUGUGUAUCUCUCUCCUUCACAAUUUAAUUCAAGGACGAAUCUAGGGUUUGAGCUCAAGAGCCCUAUCUCUCUCUCUGAUGACCGAUUCUAUUUGGUGUGAAAUGAAGCCAGACCUAGGUUAUAUCUCUCUCUCCUUCACAGUUUAAUUCAAGGACGAAUCUAGGGUUUGAGAGAUUCUCAGGCUCCGGGAUGGGGUACAUAACGUCUGGAGUCCGAUUGUGGUUGCUAAGGAUGCCCCUCAACUCACGCCGGAGCCUGAAAUCCCCGAACUCUAAAACCACAGAGUGGAUAUAUAUAAAUAUGUGUGUGUGUAUAUAUAUAUAUAUAUAUAUAAACAAAGUGAUCUGAAAGAGAGGUAAACAUGGAGCAGUUACAUAAAGAUUUAUUUGAAUUAUUAUUAGUCAAUUUGUACAGAUAUGACGGUUGAUGGAUUCAUAUAGAGGAUGUCAAUAAAUGUGUUGUGUUCCUUUCUUCUUUUAA